GGCAGAUCAAACACACGGAACACCAUCUGUGGACUGCCAAGAACAAUGAAGUCUGAUCGAUAACCAGGAGACCAGGAAAAGCCAACAAGAGUCAUAAGAGAAACACAAAGGUCCUUGUGGCACCAUUUCUAAAGAAUGACUUGGCAACGUGCCUUCUCUCGCUCUCGAACGGAGUAGUAGCCGCGCCCCUGCCCCCGACAGCACUGCCCCCGGACAAAGAGUGUGGGUGUGAGGAGGGCGGAGGGCCGGUGCGCAGCUCUGGGAAGCCGGUGGGGACAAGCCCCCAACCCACAGAGGUAGGGGACGAUCCCUGCUUCAAGGUGAGGACAGAACAGAAGGAGGCGCAGAGGAAGCCGCGUUCUCUCCUCUGCCCGUUGACCCCUGCACGCCUGAACGAGGCACACAAACAGGCCAAGACCAAAGCGGCGUGCUCGAAGCUGUGACGGGUGAGAGCACCGUGUAGCCAGGGCCCUCACACCGAAGGACACAGCACCGAGCUGGCAAUCACAGCAGUCGAAACUGCGUCACGCAGGCAAUGGCGUGGGUGUCAUCAGAAAUAAUGCUAACGGAGAGCUAACAUACGCCGGGCGUGUCAAAGGCUUCAUCCUUAACCUCACAGCAUGUUCAACAGACAUUACUCUAUCCCCAGGUCACCGACAGGGAAUCUGGAGAUGAAGAAAGUUAAGGCACAGCUCCAGAGUCGGUCACACACCCAGAAGACGCCCCAGCUGCCCGGGGCCGGGGCUGUCUCUCUGAAUGAUUAAAGAUCAGGUGUAAAUCUUGUCGAGGAAACAGAAGAUGCCCAAAUACUAGAAGGUGAUCUGGAAAGAGGUGAUCACCGCCGAAGAUCCAGCACGUCCAACACUCCCUCGGGACGCCUCAGCCGACUUGCUGAAUUCCUGGACUGUGGGACCGGAUGGGGGCUGGGAUAUGCCAAAAUCUUUUAGGGCUUUAAAUUUUUCCUCUGGUCAUGAAAGCGUCAUGCAUCAUAUUUGCAAGUGCAGAUUUAAGGCAAAGGUCUUCUGGGAGAGUGUAGUAAGGGGCCUUGGUCCACACUGGACUCCCCAGGCAGGCAGCCAGGGCCCAUGCAGCCGAGAAAGACACGGAGCAUCCCAAGAAGCAAAGGACAAGACGUCCCAAGCAGCUGUGGGCCAUUUAAGGAAAGGUCCGCUGAUCCUGUCUUCCAAAGCUUACCUCCGCAUCGCCAUGCUGCCUGUCCCCCGUCAGAGCACAGACCCGUGUCACCUGUCCCCCGUCAGAGCACAGACCCGUGUCACCUGUCCCCCGUCAGAGCACAGACCCGUGUCACCUGUCCCCCGUCAGAGCACAGACCUGUGUCACGGCCGCCUCCGCUCACUUCCUCUAUCAGCCCCUGUCCCCGCUUCUGCUGAGCCCUGAGCCCUGGCAAGAGGAAUCGUCCAGGCCACUCCAUUCCCCUUAGGGACGGACUCGCCUGACAGUCCCUCCCCUCAGUCCUGGGCUUUUCAUCCGAGCCCCAACUCCAGAAACCUGCGUGUCAAAAAAGGGUUGACAAGAGACCGAGCUGACCAGUCAGGCGGAUGGACAGGACUGGCAGGCUGGCCUUCACCAUGACGGCAAAACCACGUGGGCUGCGCUCAGGGCCACAGUGCGUGUGGGAGCCCGUUGCCUAACUCAGAGGUUCUUCCCCUAUUUUAUACAUUUAAG
ensembl:lincRNA